rnacentral:rRNA from 1 species
GUUUUGAUCAUGGCUCAGGAUGAACGCUAGCGGCAGGCCUAAUACAUGCAAGUCAAGGGGAUAGCAAUAUCACCGGCGGACGGGUGCGUAACGCGUACACAACGUGCCCAAGGGCGGAGGAAAGCGGCGGGAAACUGCCGGUAAUACUCCAUGGUGUUGUUGAGUGGCAUCACUUAACAACUAAAGUACAAGCGCCCUUGGAUCGGUGUGCGUUCGAUUAGCUAGUUGGCGGGGUAACGGCCCACCAAGGCUUCGAUCGAUAGGGGGUGUGAGAGCAUGACCCCCCACACGGGUACUGAGACACGGACCCGACUCCUACGGGAGGCAGCAGUAAGGAAUAUUGGACAAUGGGCGGAAGCCUGAUCCAGCCAUGCCGCGUGAAGGACGAAGGCGCUCAGCGUUGUAAACUUCUUUUGGAUGGGAACAAUAACUCCGACUUGUCGGAACUUGAGGGUACCAUCAGAAUAAGCACCGGCUAACUCCGUG